rnacentral:rRNA from 1 species
AGUGAACGCUGGCGGUAGGCCUAACACAUGCAAGUCGAACGGCAGCACAGUAAGAGCUUGCUCUUACGGGUGGCGAGUGGCGGACGGGUGAGGAAUACAUCGGAAUCUACUUUUUCGUGGGGGAUAACGUAGGGAAACUUACGCUAAUACCGCAUACGACCUACGGGUGAAAGCAGGGGAUCUUCGGACCUUGCGCGAUUGAAUGAGCCGAUGUCGGAUUAGCUAGUUGGCGGGGUAAAGGCCCACCAAGGCGGCGAUCCGUAGCUGGUCUGAGAGGAUGAUCAGCCACACUGGAGCUGAGACACGGUCCAGACUCCUACGGGAGGCAGCAGUGGGGAAUAUUGGACAAUGGGCGCAAGCCUGAUCCAGCCAUACCGCGUGGGUGAAGAAGGCCUUCGGGUUGUAAAGCCCUUUUGUUGGGAAAGAAAAGCAGCAGGUUAAUACCCCGCUGUUCUGACGGUACCCAAAGAAUAAGCACCGGCUAACUUCGUG